GACGAACGCUGGCGGCGUGCUUAACACAUGCAAGUCGAACGGAAAGGCCCUGCUUUUGUGGGGUGCUCGAGUGGCGAACGGGUGAGUAACACGUGAGUAACCUGCCCUUGACUUUGGGAUAACUUCAGGAAACUGGGGCUAAUACCGGAUAGGAGCUCCUGCUGCAUGGUGGGGGUUGGAAAGUUUCGGCGGUUGGGGAUGGACUCGCGGCUUAUCAGCUUGUUGGUGGGGUAGUGGCUUACCAAGGCUUUGACGGGUAGCCGGCCUGAGAGGGUGACCGGCCACAUUGGGACUGAGAUACGGCCCAGACUCCUACGGGAGGCAGCAGUGGGGAAUAUUGCACAAUGGGCGGAAGCCUGAUGCAGCAACGCCGCGUGCGGGAUGACGGCCUUCGGGUUGUAAACCGCUUUCGCCUGUGACGAAGCGUGAGUGACGGUAAUGGGUAAAGAAGCACCGGCUAACUACGUGCCAGCAGCCGCGGUGAUACGUAGGGUGCGAGCGUUGUCCGGAUUUAUUGGGCGUAAGGGCUCGUAGGUGGUUGAUCGCGUCGGAAGUGUAAUCUUGGGGCUUAACCCUGAGCGUGCUUUCGAUACGGGUUGACUUGAGGAAGGUAGGGGAGAAUGGAAUUCCUGGUGGAGCGGUGGAAUGCGCAGAUAUCAGGAGGAACACCAGUGGCGAAGGCGGUUCUCUGGGCCUUUCCUGACGCUGAGGAGCGAAAGCGUGGGGAGCGAACAGGCUUAGAUACCCUGGUAGCCCACGCUGUAAACGGUGGGUACUAGGUGUGGGGUCCAUUCCACGGGUUCCGUGCCGUAGCUAACGCUUUAAGUACCCCGCCUGGGGAGUACGGCCGCAAGGCUAAAACUCAAAGGAAUUGACGGGGCCCCGCACAAGCGGCGGAGCAUGCGGAUUAAUUCGAUGCAACGCGUAGAACCUUACCUGGGUUUGACAUGGAUCGGGAGCGCUCAGAGAUGGGUGUGCCUCUUUUGGGGUCGGUUCACAGGUGGUGCAUGGCUGUCGUCAGCUCGUGUCGUGAGAUGUUGGGUUAAGUCCCGCAACGAGCGCAACCCUUGUUCACUGUUGCCAGCACGUUAUGGUGGGGACUCAGUGGAGACCGCCGGGGUCAACUCGGAGGAAGGUGGGGAUGACGUCAAGUCAUCAUGCCCCUUAUGUCCAGGGCUUCACGCAUGCUACAAUGGCUGGUACAGAGAGUGGCGAGCCUGUGAGGGUGAGCGAAUCUCGGAAAGCCGGUCUCAGUUCGGAUUGGGGUCUGCAACUCGACCUCAUGAAGUCGGAGUCGCUAGUAAUCGCAGAUCAGCAACGCUGCGGUGAAUACGUUCCCGGGGCU
rnacentral:rRNA from 1 species